rnacentral:misc_RNA from 1 species
GAUGAAGAACGUAGUGAAAUGCGAUAAGUAAUGUGAAUUGCAGAAUUCAGUGAAUCAUCGAAUCUUUGAACGCACAUUGCGCCCCUUGGUAUUCCGAGGGGCAUGCCUGUUCGAGCGUCAUUAUAACCCUCAAGCUCAGCUUGGUGUUGGGGCCUGCUGCACUGGCAGCCCUUAAAAUCAGUGGCGGCGCCAUCUGGCUCUAAGCGUAGUAAUUCUUCUCGCUAUGGAGUCCUAGUGGAUGCUUGCCAUCAACCCCCAAUUUUUCUAUGGUUGACCUCGGAUCAGGUAGGGAUACCCGCUGAACUUAAGCAUAUCAAUAAGCGGAGGA